UACGUAGGGUGCGAGCGUUGUCCGGAAUUAUUGGGCGUAAAGAGCUCGUAGGCGGUUUGUCGCGUCGACUGUGAAAACCCGAGGCUUAACCUCGGGCCUGCAGUCGAUACGGGCAGACUAGAGUUCGGUAGGGGAGACUGGAAUUCCUGGUGUAGCGGUGAAAUGCGCAGAUAUCAGGAGGAACACCGGUGGCGAAGGCGGGUCUCUGGGCCGAUACUGACGCUGAGGCACGAAAGCGUGGGGAGCAAACAGG
rnacentral:rRNA from 1 species